UACGGAGGGUGCGAGCGUUGUCCGGAAUCACUGGGCGUAAAGGGCGCGUAGGCGGCCUGAUAAGUAGGGGGUGAAAUCCUGCGGCUUAACCGCAGGGCUGCCUUCUAAACUGUCAGGCUGGAGCACAGUAGAGGCAGGUGGAAUUCCCGGUGUAGCGGUGGAAUGCGUAGAGAUCCGGAAGAACACCGGUGGCGAAGGCGGCCCGCUGGGCAGUGGCUGACACUGAGGCGCGACAGCGUGGGGAGCAAACAGG
rnacentral:rRNA from 1 species